AACGAACGCUGGCGGCAUGCCUAACACAUGCAAGUCGAACGGGAUCCAGGCUUCGGCCUGGUGAGAGUGGCGGACGGGUGAGUAACACGUGGGAACCUGCCUUUUGGUUCGGGAUAACCGCGGGAAACUGCGGCUAAUACCGGAUGCUCCCGAGAGGGGAAAGAUUUAUCGCCAGAAGAGGGGCCCGCGUCCGAUUAGGUAGUUGGUGAGGUAAUGGCUCACCAAGCCGACGAUCGGUAGCUGGUCUGAGAGGAUGAUCAGCCACACUGGGACUGAGAUACAGCCCAGACUCCUACGGGAGGCAGCAGUGGGGAAUAUUGGACAAUGGGGAAACCCUGACGCAGCAACGCCGCGUGAGUGAGGAAGGACUUCGGUCUGUAAAGCUCUGUUAAUGUGGAAAAAUGGCAGUUGGUCUAAUAGGCCGAUUGUUUGAUGGUACACAUAGAGGAAGCACCGGCUAACUUCGUGCCAGCAGCCGCGGUAAU
rnacentral:rRNA from 1 species